GAAAGAAAAGAAAUGAAACACAGUGCCCACAACUUUGGUUGGGCUGGCAAAACACAACUCAAAGUCCAGCAACUUCCUAAACGGCCCAAAACGACGCAUCGGAGGCGUCGUCUCGCCGCAUUUGGAUUUUUUGGAUGAAAUAUAUACAUAAAUCAAACUUAAAAUGUGGAUCUUGGAUUUUGGAGAUGUGGCUCGAAUUGCUUCGAUUUGGAAAGGGCAAAUUUGGAUGGGUAUUUUGUUUCAAAUUAGUGUAGUAGAAGAAAUUUAGGAAAUUUAUGAAGCAUAGAAGGAGAUGAAUUGUCUCAAACUGGAAAUAUAUGCGUAAACAAGCUGUGCUUAGUUGAACUGGAGAUGUUGAAACCAGAAGUACCAACCAAGCUGCUUAGUUUGGCAGAGGGCGAUUUUAGACAAUCUGUGUAGCUCAUAGGUUUGGUUAAUUGUUUUAGGAGGAUGUGUUGGAGACUAAUUUGUGGUCCUUGGCCGAAAAGCAUUGUCAAGUUAAACGAGGAAAAACUCGGCACUUUUGGAAUAGUACAUCAAGCUCUUGAGGAUUAUCUCAAGUUUGUUUUCCACAGUAGGUUUCCUGUGGCAUCCCUUUGAAACUGUAGGUUAUACAUAGAUGAUACACCUCUAGGAUGGCAGGAAUGGAUAAUGAAAUUCAUCUCGAGAUGUUUAUGGAAGAAAUAGAUCUGACGAUCAACAUUUAACAAACUAAAAAGGUUUUAAGAGAACAAGUAGGCUGCCUUCAUAUCAUUCUGUGGAGAAAAACAAGUGCUCCUGGUAAAACAUGUUCAAUCAUUGAGGUUUCCAUGUUCACAUCAAUAAUUAGCAUAUCUUGAGGGAUGAGAUUUUGUGAAGUCCUAAAUUCUUUGUACUCUGUAUAUCAAUCCAAGCAUUUUGAAUUACUAUACAUAAAAGUGUUUGCAUAUAAUGCAGCAGUGUAUGCAUCUAUGUCAUUCUUUUUUUGUACUUGAUUAUAAUGCUUAGGACUAAAUCUGGUAAUGUAACUGAUAUAUGGAUGAAAUUGAUUAAUGUGUCAUAUUAACAUUAAAACUCUGCAGAUUGAAACACAUCAAAUUACUUAUUCGAACUGCUACCUAUCUUUCAGAUACCACAACUGUUUUCUAUAUAUAUAGGUCUUUCUCAAUUCACUAAUUAGAAUGCAUCCAUUUGACAUGGGAACACACCAAGAUACUUGAUAUCAAAUGCAAAUAGCUUUCAUUAUGCGAAAAGGCUAGGUUCUCUUAAAACAUGGUCUUUGACAAUUAGUGUUAGGUUAUAUGUGGUGAUGCUGCAAAUGAAAUUCUUUCAUUUAAUCAUAUGAUACAAUAUCCAGCCUGUGAAGCACUGUGGGUUUAGUCAUUGAAACCGAAGAACCUUGCAUAUAGUCAAUAGAAAAAAAUAGGUGUUACCAUUGAAAUUCAUAGGAGCAAACUAUUAUGUCAUUUCCUUUACUUUUCUAGCAUGUAACUAUUUAUGAUCUCAUCAUUUCCUUCAGUUUCUCUUAUUAGUAAUUUAUCUGAAGACAUUUCAGUACUGACCUUGAGAGCAUGCAGAUGAUUGUUAUCCCAACAUAGAAUUGCUAUUGUUGGCUGAAAUCAGUAAUUGAAGGUGUUGUCCUUUCCUUAAUGUCAGAAAAAAAAAAAAAAAA